CGAAUGCUGACGUGAGUAACGACAAAACGGGUGAAAAACCCGUUCGCCGAAAGACCAAGGGUUCCAGUCCAACGUUAAUCGGGGCUGGGUGAGUCGACCCCUAAGGCGAGGCCGAAAGGCGUAGUCGAUGGGAAAAUGGUUAAUAUUCCAUUACUUCUGUGUAAUGCGAUGAGAGGACGGAGAAGGCUAAAUCAGCCUGGCGUUGGUUGUCCAGGUGAAAGGAUGUAGGCAUGUAUCUUAGGCAAAUCCGGGGUACUCUAUGCUGAGAUCUGAUAGCAAGCUGUACUUGUACAGCGAAGUGGUUGAUGCCAUGCUUCCAGGAAAAGUCUCUAAGCUUCAGUUACACAGGAAUCGUACCCGAAACCGACACAGGUGGUCAGGUCGAGUAGACCAAGGCGCUUGAGAGAACUCUGCUGAAGGAACUAGGCAAAAUGGUACCGUAACUUCGGGAGAAGGUACGCUGUUGUUGGUGAUGGAACUCGCUUCCUGAGCUGACGACAGCCGCAGAAACCAGGCCGCUGCAACUGUUUAUUAAAAACAUAGCACUCUGCAAACACGAAAGUGGACGUAUAGGGUGUGAUGCCUGCCCGGUGCUGGAAGGUUAAUUGAUGGGGUUAGCGUAAGCGAAGCUCUUGAUCGAAGCCCCAGUAAACGGCGGCCGUAACUAUAACGGUCCUAAGGUAGCGAAAUUCCUUGUCGGGUAAGUUCCGACCUGCACGAAUGGCAUAAUGAUGGCGGCGCUGUCUCCAGCAGAGGCUCAGUGAAAUCGAAAUCGCUGUGAAGAUGCAGUGUACCCGCGGCUAGACGGAAAGACCCCGUGAACCUUUACUGCAGC
rnacentral:rRNA from 1 species